GACGUAGGGCGCGAGCGUUGUCCGGAUUUAUUGGGCGUAAAGAGCUCGUAGGCGGCUUGUCGCGUCGAAUGUGAAAACCCACGGCUCAACUGUGGGCUUGCAUUCGAUACGGGCAGGCUAGAGUUCGGUAGGGGAGACUGGAAUUCCUGGUGUAGCGGUGAAAUGCGCAGAUAUAGGGAAGAACACCAAUCAGGCGAAGGCAGUUAACUAUUCUAUUCCUGACAUUGAGGCAUGAAAGCGUGGGGAGCAAAACGG
rnacentral:rRNA from 1 species